UUGGAUACAAAAACACCACCAGAUCAUAAAGAAAUUUCGGGAUGAAGAGAUGCAGCAUCAUGACACUGGGCUGGACUAUGAUGCUGAACUGACUCCAGGAUAUUCAAUUCUGAAGAACGCUAUACAGAUUGGAUGUAAAGCAGCAAUAUUUUUAUCGGAAAGAAUAUAACCUAUUUUUGGCAAUGGUGCUGGUGUUAAAAGGGCUUUUUGUGACUUGGAGCUCAAAAUACCCCUGGGGGUACGACUGCUUUACGUAUCAACUCGCACAUCUCUUGAACCAUUUUGCUGGAGGAUCUGUGUGUCUUUUGCCCCGCUUCUCUCUGAACGUAUUAUGGGAUGGGCUUUAAGAGUAGUUGGAGAAAGGAGACAAUAAAGAUGUGUCUUGAAGCAGA